AGACAGCAGGACGGUGGACAUGGAAGUCGUCAUCCGCUAAGGAGUGUGUAACAACUCACCUGCCGAAUCAACCAGCCCUGAAAAUGGAUGGCGCUGUAGCGUUGGACCUAUACCGGAUCGAUAUCGUAAGUUUACAAAAACGAGUAAACGAUAUCGUGUAGGAGGGUGCCGUGGUUGCUAAGAAGCUACUGGCGUAAGUCAGAGUGGAGCGGCCACGGGUACAGAUCUUGGUAGUAGUAGCAAUUAUUCAAGUGAGAUCCUGAAGACUGAAGUGGAGAAGGGUUCCAUGUGAACAGUAUUUGAACAUGGGUUAGUCGGUCCUAAGCGAUCUGAUAAUUCAGUUAUCAGAAAGAGGUGAUAGACAUUAGCAAUAGUGUUUAUAAUUGAAUUUAGCCUCUUGAAGCGAAAGGGAAUCAGGUUAACAUUCCUGAACUUGAAUACGGAAAUUUGGUUGUUUCGGCAACACAAGGUGGCAACACAAGCGAUCUCAGAGACGUCAUCAAGUGUUUCGGGAAGAGUUCUCUUUUCUUUGUAUACAUAACCAUGUCCCUAGAAUCAGGUCAUCUGGAGAAAGGGAUGUGAAAUGUCAAAAGCACCGCGGUUCUUGUGGUGUCCGAAGCGCCCCUGAUGGCCCUUGAAAAUCUGAGGGAGCAGUUAUAAAUUUCGUUUCAAGCCGUACCGAUAUCCGCAGCAGGUCUCCAAGGUGAGCAGCCUAUAGCCUUAGAACAAUGUAGGUAAGGGAAGUCGGCAAACUAGAUCCGUACCUUCGGGAUAAGGAUUGGCUCUAAAGA
rnacentral:rRNA from 1 species